UUUCUGCCUUAGGUGGCCUUGCGCUCUGGCGGCUGUCGCGACGGGGGUUCAGGGAACAUUUACUGGGGCUCCCCGCUCCCUCUGCUCUUGGAGGUGCCAUGAGGUCAGUUAGCUACGUGCAGCGCGUGGCGCUGGAGUUCAGCGGGAGCCUCUUCCCGCACGCAAUCUGCCUCGGAGACGUUGAUAACGAUACGUUAAAUGAACUGGUGGUGGGAGACACCAGCGGGAAGGUGUCUGUGUAUAAAAAUGAUGACAGUCGGCCAUGGCUCACCUGUUCCUGCCAGGGAAUGCUGACUUGCGUUGGGGUUGGAGACGUAUGUAAUAAAGGAAAGAACCUGUUGGUGGCAGUGAGUGCUGAAGGCUGGUUUCAUUUGUUUGACCUGACACCUGCCAAGAUGUUGGAUGCUUCUGGGCACCACGAGACACUAAUUGGAGAGGAGCAGCGUCCAGUCUUCAAGCAGCACAUCCCCGCCAACACCAAGGUCAUGCUGAUCAGCGACAUCGAUGGAGAUGGGUGUCGUGAGCUGGUGGUGGGCUACACAGACCGUGUGGUGCGAGCUUUCCGCUGGGAGGAGCUGGGUGAGGGUCCUGAACAUCUGACAGGGCAGCUGGUGUCCCUCAAGAAAUGGAUGCUGGAGGGUCAGGUGGACAGCCUCUCAGUGACUCUGGGACCACUGGGCCUUCCUGAACUGAUGGUGUCUCAGCCAGGCUGUGCUUAUGCAAUUCUACUGUGUACCUGGAAAAAGGACACUGGGUCCUCUCCUGCCUCUGAAGGGCCCACGGAUGGCAGUAGGGAGACCCCAGCUGUCCGAGAUGUGGUGCUGCACCAAACAUCUGGCCGUAUCCACAACAAGAAUGUCUCCACUCACCUAAUUGGCAACAUCAAACAAGGCCACGGCACUGAGAGUAGUGGCUCUGGCCUCUUUGCCCUGUGCACCCUGGAUGGGACACUGAAGCUCAUGGAAGAAAUGGAAGAAGCAGACAAGCUGCUAUGGUCAGUGCAGGUGGAUCACCAGCUGUUUGCCCUGGAGAAAUUGGAUGUCACCGGCAACGGGCAUGAGGAGGUAGUUGCAUGCGCCUGGGAUGGACAGACCUAUAUCAUUGAUCACAACCGCACCGUCGUCCGCUUCCAAGUGGAUGAAAAUAUCCGUGCCUUCUGUGCAGGGCUGUACGCCUGCAAAGGGGGCCACAACAGCCCCUGCCUCGUAUAUGUCACUUUCAACCAGAAGAUCUAUGUGUACUGGGAGGUGCAGCUGGAGCGGAUGGAGUCUACCAAUCUGGUGAAACUGCUGGAGACCAAGCCGGAGUACCACAGCCUGCUGCAGGAGCUGGGCGUGGAUCCUGACGACCUCCCUGUGACUCGUGCCCUGCUUCACCAAACGCUCUACCAUCCAGACCAGCCACCGCAGUGUGCUCCCUCCAGCCUCCAGGAUCCCACCUAGCUGUACUUGCCUCAUAGCUGGUGAAGGAUUCUUCUGAACCCCCACCCUACCCCGUAAAGGCAGGGAGGAAGACCAGAGAAGAACAUCGACAUAGAGAAACAAGAGUUUAUUCCAAUGGAGACGCAGCUGAGCCGAGCGCUUGCCACUGGGCCUGGGGUCUGCAGUUACAGAAGCAGCAAGAGGCAGACAAAGAAAGGCACAGCACAAGACCCAAGAAAGCGGACCUUGUGGAGCAAGGCAGUGAGGGAGAGGAAGGCCUUUAGGAUUUUGAGACCAGAAUGCAGAGCCAGAAUGAUUGGAGAGCAAGAAGAGUGCAAUCCAGGUAGAAGAAGCACAGAGCAAAGACGGUGGCCGAGGACCAGUGGGAAUUUAUUGCGAAUGUUCAACAGUGAUUGAGUGGUUACGCGGUUCCAGAGAUUACAGGGCCAAUGCCUUAGAACACAUGAGUUUUUUCCAGAAUUAUGUUAUCCGUGCACACACACCAUUUGAUUUAAGUAUUGUAUUUUGACCAAGGAAAGGGGGCAGAGUAAUGGUGGUGACAGAUGGAGUUGCACUGAGGAGAGAUGGGUUGGGGCAGGGAGGAAGGAGGUAGAGGACCCUGGUUAGGUCCAGGCUAGGGAGAGAGGUGCCCUUUCUCCCUCCCUCCCUCUGCCAUCAGGGCAGCAAGGAGAGCAGGUGAAGUGAGUGCAGGCAGGGUUGUUAAUGAAAGUGUGUCCCUGGGGGGCCUCUCACCUUGCAGUUGACCAGAAGAGCUGGAAUCUCUGUCCUGCUGGUCUUCCUCCUGCUCUCCUGGCCAUGAGUCAGGGCCUGCACCCGGGGAGACUCCCCCUGAAGCCAUUUCGGGUUUCCCUCCACCAGGCGUCUUUGGAUCACACUGUGCGGCUGCUGGCUCCAUCACAAAACAAUGAAGGAGGAAGUUGGACGCAGAGAGAAAUGCACAUGGGGCAAACGCCACGUGAAGGCUGAGGUCGGGAUGAUGCAUCUGUAAGCCAAGGAAGACCUAAGAUGAGCAGCAAACCACCAGAAGCCAGGGGAGAGGCACGGAACAGACCCUACCUUACCGCUGCCAGAAGGAACCAACCCUGCCAACACCUUCCUGUUGUACUUUCAGCUUCGAGAACUGUGAGAUGACAAAUUUCUAUUGUUUUAGCCACUCAAGCUUGUGAUACAUACUUUGUUAUGGCAUCCCCAGGAAACUAGUACAUUAAGUCUUAGGACCCA